GAUGAAGAACGCAGCGAAAUGCGAUAAGUAGUGUGAAUUGCAGAAUUCAGUGAAUCAUCGAAUCUUUGAACGCACAUUGCACCUCCUGGUAUUCCGGGAGGCAUGCCUGUUCGAGCGUCAUUAAAAUCACUCAAGCUUAGGUUUACCUAUUGCUUGGUCUUGGAGAUGGAAGCCAAUUUAUUGGAAUCCUCUUCGAAAUUCAAUGGCGAAGACCCUUGCUCUCCCAAGUGUAGUAAUAACUUAUGUCACUGAAGGAAGCGAGAAAUCUUCUGCCGUAACCCCCAUAUUUUCUAUGAUUGACCUCGGAUCAGGUAGGGAUACCCGCUGAACUUAAGCAUAUCAAUAAGCGGAGGA
rnacentral:misc_RNA from 1 species